ensembl:lncRNA
CACCUUUCCCCCACAGUGACAGUUAAGGUCAGAAGGAGCCCGGGGUCCCAGUUGGUGCCAUCGGAAUUGAAGAAAUCAGGACUCCAUCCAGGACACCAUGUUGCAUUCACUCAUCAUGUCUCCUCAAAUCUGUAACAGUUUUGCAGUCUUUCUUUAUUUUCCAUGACCUUGACAGUCUUGAGGAGUCCUAGGCACGUGGAAUUUGGACUCCUCCUAAAGUUACAGUGAUCGCUCUGGAUUUUUAUAUGGAUUUGAAAGCAUGAAAUAUAGAGUGAUGGAUCAAGCACCACUGCUCCAGAUCUGGGAAGCACGACCGUGACAGCAUCUGAGAGACAGCAGAGAUGUAUCUAUAAGAAAAUCAAGGAAUCUGCUCUUCCCAGCCUCGCGUUCUCUUGAAUUCAUUUUUGUUCACAAACCUUGAAUAUAAACUUAUGUUUGAUUAUCGUUCACAUGUUUUGUGUGUGACAAUUUUUCUGAACUUGAGCAAAAAGUAAAAACCAACCACAACGGUUCACAUUCCCUAUUAUUAUUUUUUUGUUUUUCCAGCUGAUCAAGAGGCAGAAGAAAAGUGAGAAAGACAUUGAGGACAAACAUUUAGUUAACACACCCACACAAACCCAGCAUUGGAGGGAACAUCCUUCACUUGGGGUGACAAGUGGUGAUGACUUGUCACAGUUGUCUCAGUCUGAAGGAGACCAGGCAGGUGUAUCAUCACACAGCUUCUGCGGUGGAUGCACAGAGCCUCUAGAAGUGCUCCCAGUUCAGAGAGAGGAGCAGGGUGUGGAGAGAGCCCUCAGGCCCCCAGCCCCAGCACCGGCCUCAAGGAGAGGCGAUAAGAGGCCAGGAUGCGGUCAGGUGGGACUGCAGAAACAAAAAGUGGAACUUCUACCAGAAGCAGACUACAAUCAAGUGCUGAUCAUGAAGUUUAGAUCGACGAUGGACCCCAUAGACGACGGUGGUCCCAAAAGGAACGUUUGAAAAUAGCGCUGACAACUCUCUGGAGAACUGGAAUCCCAUCCCCGUGGAAGGAGAAGAAGGUUUGCUCUGACAAUCCCACUCAAACGACGCAGCUCGAGUUUCUCCUCUCUCCUCAAGCUGCUGUUCCGGGGUGAGGUGGUGCCUGCAUCCAGGGUCAAGAAUGUAGCGCUCUGCUGUGAUUUACUGCUGAAUGUCACCCAGUCACAGAAUCCUACUCCAGAGUAGGAAGAGCCCAGCGUGCAGCACAGAGUGGUCCUCUCAGUCUGGACUUUGUGGUGUGGAAGAGCGGAGCUUGGUUCCUCUCAGUACGUUAGAUUGAUACUUCAUACAGCAUAAUCACUUGAAUAUGGAUUAUAAACUCAAAAGGCCUCAGCAGCCAGGCAGAAAAAAUAAAGAAGGACACUGGGAUUCAACACUCACACCAAGAGUCAUGUUCAUUGUCAAGCCUUUAUUUAAUAGCUAGACCUGCCCUUUCUGCUUUUGACCUAAGAGACAUAGUGACUUUUAGAAUGAUUUCUGCAGAUGGCUGAUCUAAUCUAAUGUGAAUUGAUUUCAAUAAACUUUCAGAGGAUG